GCGUUUGUUUCUGUUUGUUCUCUGCCUUGCUUAGCCAUUGGUUGAUUUUCGAGGGGGUGUAAGGAUUGUUACCAGCUGUUAACACUCAAGGAUUGGUUUCCUUCAGAACUAUUGGAAGCCAUGUCUCAAGAUCUUUACAAGGGAACUGCUUGAUGCUGUAUUCUACUGAAGGCCAUCACGGGUUGGGCAUCUCAAACUGUGGGGGUCCAACAAACUGUAGAUAAACACAAAGAUCUUCAGGAACUCUUUAGUGGAGGGUGACUGGAGAGAUUUGACUGUGAUUGAAGCUGGGAAUCCAUUAUCUCCAAGGAACUGCAAAAAAACAGAGAAACAACCAGUGACUGUAGCAAAGCCACUUCCACCACUGGAGAAAAGCUCAGCAUAUGUCCUCAGAAAACACCUUGACUCCAGGAUAUGGGGACAACCUUGUGGAUUUGGAGGAGUAUGGUCCUGAAGAGAGAGCCUAAAGACAUUCUGGGCCGUUCACUGUCCUCGUCUGAGUUCUAACACACACUUUCCAUUCCUCAGUCAUGUCCUGUAUUACAGCACUGCUCGACUGGUUCCCAUCUCUCAGGGUACAAGGAAAGCAUGCAUCAAGGCAUCAAGGAUGGUGGAAUUAACUUCCUCUAGAUGUCCUAUAUGUCUUAAAAUGCCGACUACUGUAAAUACCUACCUCUUCAUGGAGUACUUAAAUUAGCACUUUAUUAAAACAAUUGUGUUGUGUUGUCUGUAUGUUUUUCUUACUAUUUUACCUCCCCAACAGAGUUUUUUUAGACUGAUAUUACUCUUUAUCUGUGACCCUGUGAACCAGUAUCAGGAUAUGUUUAUUGCCAGAGACUUCUAAGCACUCCCGUAAGUUGCUCUUGAUAAGAACAGCUACCAAAUGCCAUAAAUAUAAACGUCUUGGGAUAUUUAAGGACUUAUUCAUGGACACCAGUGUACAGUAAUGUACAUUAUUUACACCAAAAUAUAUUACUGUACAUUAAUGUUCUUAAGUAUUUCAUUAAAGUAUUUCAGUAUUUCAAUUUUUGCAGACAUUAUACGUCCACUCAACAACAUUCCAAAGCAAAAUAUCCUACUUUUAAUCUGUUACUUUCUGCAGCGUGCCAAUCAUUACUUAAAAAAACCCAACAGUACUCAUCUACACAUACAGAUAAAUCAUGUAUGGUUCCAUCUGGAUGGCAACCCUCUUCUUUCUCUGAUGGAUUAGCAUGCAGCUAACUUUGAGUGUUUUGUUUCAUUUGAUUUUUAACAGAACAUUUCAGAGGGAUUGCAUAUCAUUGGAUGCAACUGUAAAUAGACAGAAAAAUAAGGAAUAUUUUCUUCACAAAUCUAUCAAACUUCACAAAAAUAUUUAGGUCAGAAUGCCUUUAUGGAACUAAGUUUACCAGAGGAGUCAGCUUGAAUAAGAAGAUUAAUUCACAACCUGCACUGUAGACAGACAUACCUACUGUAUCAAGGGUGUGGAGGGGGAUAUUUUCGGCGUGGGCAGUGGACACAUACGCUCUUGUUUUGCUCUGCAGUAUAACUAAAAUAACUUUAGUUAACUUUAGUACUUUUAUUUUUUACACUUAAGUACACAUAAAAGCAGGACCUUUUGUACUUUAACAAAGAAAAAUGGAAAUAGAAGACUUUUACUUUUACUCAAGUAGUAGUUUAGCACAUGCAUAUCUACUUUCACUUAAGUACAAGAUUUCUGUACUUUGUUCACCAAUGUUCAUGUGCUAGCUCAAUACGAGGUCUUGCCAAUUCUGAGCUGUUGUUUCCUGCCAUUGAUUCCUGUAUAUGACCCUUGGCUUGUUUGUUAUUGCUCUGUUGGAUUUUGCCCUUUGAUAGAGGUUUAUCUGCAUAAUGGGUACCUUGACUUCCUGCUUGGUUUAUGACUGCUUUGGAUUUGGUGAUAUUUCAUUAAACCCCCAGCACAUAAAAUCUCAGUGGCCACUGGUGGUGCUGUUGUGCUUGGUUUCACAAAAUUACAAAAUAAUCCACAUUAAAACAGUAUAAAUUAUUUGUUAACAACAAAUAACCUGAAGUCAGUUCCAAAUAUGAAACCAUAUAUCAAUGUAUUUAAAAAAUCUAUAUUUUAACGACAGGGGACUUAGCUCUGCUAGCCCUUUUAUAUAUCUGUAAUGAUCCUAUACUUAAAAUAUAUGCCAAUACAUAUCCAAAUAAAAUUUUUAUUUAAUAACAAACUGAAUACAUCCAUGACCUGUAACUGAAUGUAAAACUUUACUGGCUAUUAAAAUCCUUCAAUCAUUGCAUCCUGAUGC